UCUCAAGUAAAGCAAUGUCCAUUUUAGUAUGCAAAUCCUUUAGUGUAUCAUGAAAUAUUUACAAAAAGUAUUUCAAACAAGGUUAAUUACUUAAACUCUGGCCUUUUGUUAGUUUGGUUUUGAGACAGAGUUUGAUGUAGCCCAGGCUGGCCUGGGACUCCCUUUGUAAAUGAGGAGAGCCUUGCAGCACUGAUCCCCUGCCUCUAUGUCCUGAGCAUUAGAAUUCCAGGUGAGUGACACUGCACCUUGUUUCUAUGCAAUACUGGGAACUAAAUCCAGAGCUUCAUGCAUGCUAGCAAAGCAGUCUACCAGUGAGCUGCCUCCCCAGCCCAAACUGUUCUGCACUGUUCACUGCCUGCCAAACAGGGGAAUGACCCCGGGGAUCUUCAAUGGGAACUAAAGCCUUCAGUGCAUCAUGCUGCAGCUUCCUGCUUCUACUGCUAUGCCUGCCUCAUGCAGCCAUGCCUCCACACCAGGAUGACCUCUUAUGCUUCUGGAAGUAAAAGCCCCAAAACAAUCUUCUAUAAGCUCUGCUGGUCAAGACCUCACCUUCUCCUCUCAGGAGCAGUAUGUGAGCUAAGAGCCACCAUGAUGGGCACCACAGCACAAGUUACAGCCUGGACUGCAGGAGGUGGGCCAUGAGGCAGAGGCCCAUUAGUCUUAGCAACUUAUUACUGUGACUUCAGAUGUUUGAACACAAAACCAUUUUUUAUAAAUACUGACAUAUGAGCCAGUAUAAAAUGCAGAUUUCCUGAUAUUCUGAUAUGAAUAUCAGAAGCAGUAUUCCAAAACUUGAUAAUUAGCCAUAA